rnacentral:rRNA from 1 species
UACGUAGGGUCCGAGCGUUGUCCGGAAUUAUUGGGCGUAAAGGGCUCGUAGGCGGUUCGUCACGUCGGGAGUGAAAACUCGGGGCUUAACCCCCGAGCCUGCUUCCGAUACUGUGCGACUAGAGUGCGGAAGGGGCAACUGGAAUUCUCGGUGUAGCGGUGAAAUGCGUAGAUAUCGAGAGGAACACCUGCGGCGAAGGCGGGUUGCUGGGCCGACACUGACGCUGAUGCGCGAAAGCCAGGGGAGCGAACGGG